rnacentral:rRNA from 1 species
AAAUUGAAGAGUUUGAUCAUGGCUCAGAUUGAACGCUGGCGGCAGGCCUAACACAUGCAAGUCGAACGGUAACAGGAAACAGCUUGCUGUUUCGCUGACGAGUGGCGGACGGGUGAGUAAUGUCUGGGAAACUGCCUGAUGGAGGGGGAUAACUACUGGAAACGGUAGCUAAUACCGCAUAAUGUCGCAAGACUAAAGAGGGGGACCUUCGGGCCUCUUGCCAUCGGAUGUGCCCAGAUGGGAUUAGCUAGUAGGUGGGGUAACGGCUCACCUAGGCGACGAUCCCUAGCUGGUCUGAGAGGAUGACCAGCCACACUGGAACUGAGACACGGUCCAGACUCCUACGGGAGGCAGCAGUGGGGAAUAUUGCACAAUGGGCGCAAGCCUGAUGCAGCCAUGCCGCGUGUAUGAAGAAGGCCUUCGGGUUGUAAAGUACUUUCAGCG